rnacentral:rRNA from 1 species
GGGCCUGCGUCUCAUUAGCUACCAUGGAAAGGUAACGGCUUACCAUGGCUACGAUGGGUAGGGGUCCUGAAAGGGAGAUCCCCCACACUGGUACUGAGACACGGACCAGACUCCUACGGGAGGCAGCAGUGAGGAAUAUUGGACAAUGGGCGCAAGCCUGAUCCAGCCAUGCCGCGUGCAGGAAGAAGGUCCUAUGGAUUGUAAACUGCUUUUAUACAGGAAGAAACACCUCUACGUGUAGAGACUUGACGGUACUGUAUGAAUAAGGACCGGCUAACUCCGUGCCAGCAGCCGCGGUAAU